GGAGGUAGGCCCGGAGGAAGAUGCUCUGGAAGCGACGGAAGGCUGGGUUGGCUGCAGCAGUCUGUGUCUGAGCAGGUGGGCUGAGACGACGUGCCGUGAGCUCGAGACCAACACACAAGGCGAGCAGGACAAUUAUGGCAAGGUCAGAAAAUGCUGUCAGUGGUGAAACCAACCUAUUGUAUGUGUUCUACUCCUGAUAACUAAAGAAUGGAAGAAUAAGAAUAAGAGCGGGGCUUAGCAAAAGCAAAACAGCCGGCCUGCGGCGACCAACGACUACAAGAAGCACGCAAGCACACGGUCACGGUGCAUCGUGUGGCAGUUGCUGUCAGUAACAGUACGGUCGGCCACAAUUCGCUUGAACUUUAAUGGGGCCUGGGCAGUAUGGUAGCCGACUAUAUGCAUCCACUGCUGGAAGGAUGUACCUACUGGCCGCAAGGACACCACAGUGCUGCUCGUGGCCGGCCGUCUCCUAUGCUGUGCAUUCAUUCAUUCACUUAUCCUUGAGAGGGUCACAGGAGCUACGUCAUGCAUAUUACACAAAGCCCACAUUGCAUAAAAAAAUAUAUGAACAGGAGGGAAUAAGCAUUUUAGGGAUGGGUUUUCAUUUAUUUGCUGGAACCCCCUGAAGCACAUUAAAAAUUAUGUACAGUAUUUGGGUAAAACUAAUUGUGCUGGGCAGUAAGCUUAUAUAGUGGUAGGAGCAGGUCAGAAAGCAAGAGUUCCAGGUGAUGUCACCUGACUCCAAUUUUAGCCCAACUCAAAAAAAUCCUGGCAGCUGGGAAAAUCAAAAAUACUUUUGUUAUAACUCAGAGAUUCUGCAAUCAAUCGUCUACACUUUUUCAGCACUUAUCACUAAAUAUAUUUAAUGUAUCACUCGUCAUAAUAAAUGGAGUGUUCCAUGAAGAGUGAUAUAAAGCCCUAAUGGCCAAAUCACCCUAUUAAAAAAAAGGCUUUGUCAGUGUUUUAAUUGAGUCAUUGGCAGUUAAAUUGCAGGAUAAGGCAGGUGCAAUAGAGCAUUGGGACUGAACUAGUGGCACGAUAACCUCAAAGAACUUUGCUUGGUACAUUUUUCUGUCAGACCUACAUUUCUACUGUCCAUUUCCCAACUGAGUUGGCUAAUGAGAGCACAGUAACAGAACUUCACAGAGCCCCUGUGCUUUAAAGUGUGUCAAUGUUUCUCACCGUCACGUGACAUGCCAACAGACAGGCACUUCUU